CGGACGGGUGAGUAAUGCCUAGGAAUCUGCCUGGUAGUGGGGGAUAACGUUCGGAAACGGACGCUAAUACCGCAUACGUCCUACGGGAGAAAGCAGGGGACCUUCGGGCCUUGCGCUAUCAGAUGAGCCUAGGUCGGAUUAGCUAGUUGGUGAGGUAAUGGCUCACCAAGGCGACGAUCCGUAACUGGUCUGAGAGGAUGAUCAGUCACACUGGAACUGAGACACGGUCCAGACUCCUACGGGAGGCAGCAGUGGGGAAUAUUGGACAAUGGGCGAAAGCCUGAUCCAGCCAUGCCGCGUGUGUGAAGAAGGUCUUCGGAUUGUAAAGCACUUUAUGUUGGGAGGAAGGGCAGUAAAUUAAUACUUUGCUGUUUUGACGUUACCGACAGAAUAAGCACCGGCUAACUCUGUGCCAGCAGCCGCGGUAAUACAGAGGGUGCAAGCGUUAAUCGGAAUUACUGGGCGUAAAGCGCGCGUAGGUGGUUUGUUAAGUUGGAUGUGAAAUCCCCGGGCUCAACCUGGGAACUGCAUUCAAAACUGACUGACUAGAGUAUGGUAGAGGGUGGUGGAAUUUCCUGUGUAGCGGUGAAAUGCGUAGAUAUAGGAAGGAACCCCAGUGGCGAGGGCGACCCACCUGGACUAAUACUGACACUGAGGUGCGAAAGCGUGGGGAGCAAA
rnacentral:rRNA from 1 species